ACUUGGAGAUUCUUACAGAACAAGAUGAAAUAAUCAAGGGCGACUUUUACAACAGUUUUGCCACUUGGCCUCAAAAGAGCAAAAACCAGGACAAAACAGAAAAAGCCAAGAAGAAGGUAUUUUCUGCUGACGACUUCCAGAGAUUUCAAUUUCACGAGAAAACACCCACGAUAAGCAAAUGGUGA